UUAAGUUAAUAAGGGCGCACGGUGGAUGCCUUGGCACUAGAAGCCGAUGAAGGACGUGACUAACGACGAAAUGCUUUGGGGAGCUGUAAGUGAGCAAUGAUCCAGAGAUGUCCGAAUGGGGGAACCCGGCAGGUAAUGCCUGUCACUCAUUACUGUUAAGGUAAUGUAGAGGAAGACGCAGUGAACUGAAACAUCUAAGUAGCUGCAGGAAGAGAAAGCAAAAGCGAUUGCCUUAGUAGCGGCGAGCGAAACGGCAAGAGGGCAAACCGAAGAGUUUACUCUUCGGGGUUGUAGGACUGCAACGUGGACUUAAAGAUUAUAGAAGAACUACCUGGGAAGGUAGGCCAAAGAGAGUAAUAGCCUCGUAUUCGAAAUAGUCUUUAUACCUAGCAGUAUCCUGAGUACGGCGAGACACGAGAAAUCUCGUCGGAAUCUGGGAGGACCAUCUCCCAACCCUAAAUACUCUCUAGUGACCGAUAGUGAACCAGUACCGUGAGGGAAAGGUGAAAAGCACCCCGGGAGGGGAGUGAAAUAGAACCUGAAACCGUGUGCCUACAACAAGUUCGAGCCCGUUAAUGGGUGAGAGCGUGCCUUUUGUAGAAUGAACCGGCGAGUUACGAUAUGAUGCGAGGUUAAGUUGAAGAGACGGAGCCGUAGGGAAACCGAGUCUUAAUAGGGCGCAUUAGUAUCAUGUCGUAGACCCGAAACCAUGUGACCUACCCAUGAGCAGGUUGAAGGUGAGGUAAAACUCACUGGAGGACCGAACCAGGGCACGUUGAAAAGUGCUUGGAUGACUUGUGGGUAGCGGAGAAAUUCCAAACGAACUUGGAGAUAGCUGGUUCUCUCCGAAAUAGCUUUAGGGCUAGCGUCGAUGUUAAGUCUCUUGGAGGUAGAGCACUGUUUGGGUGAGGGGUCCAUCCCGGAUUACCAAUCUCAGAUAAACUCCGAAUGCCAACGAGAUAUAAUCGGCAGUCAGACUGCGAGUGCUAAGAUCCGUAGUCGAAAGGGAAACAGCCCAGACCACCAGCUAAGGUCCCAAAAUAUAUGUUAAGUGGAAAAGGAUGUGGGGUUGCACAGACAACUAGGAUGUUAGCUUAGAAGCAGCUAUUCAUUCAAAGAGUGCGUAAUAGCUCACUAGUCGAGUGACCCUGCGCCGAAAAUGUACCGGGGCUAAAACAUAUUACCGAAGCUGUGGAUACCUUUAUAGGUAUGGUAGGAGAGCGUUCUAUGUGCGAAGAAGGUGUACCGUGAGGAGUGCUGGAGCGCAUAGAAGUGAGAAUGCCGGUAUGAGUAGCGAAAGACAGGUGAGAAUCCUGUCCACCGUAAGACUAAGGUUUCCAGGGGAAGGCUCGUCCGCCCUGGGUUAGUCGGGACCUAAGGAGAGACCGAAAGGUGUAUCCGAUGGACAACAGGUUGAUAUUCCUGUACUAGAGUAUAUAGUGAUGGAGGGACGCAGUAGGCUAACUAAACCAGACGAUUGGAAGUGUCUGGCCAAGCAGUGAGGUGUGAUAUGAGUCAAAUGCUUAUAUCUAUAACAUUGAGCUGUGAUGGGGAGCGAAGUUUAGUAGCGAAGUUAGUGAUGUCACACUGCCGAGAAAAGCUUCUAGCGUUAAUUAUACUCUACCCGUACCGCAAACCGACACAGGUAGUCGAGGCGAGUAGCCUCAGGUGAGCGAGAGAACUCUCGUUAAGGAACUCGGCAAAAUGGCCCCGUAACUUCGGGAGAAGGGGCGCUGACUUAUGGUCAGCCGCAGUGAAUAGGCCCAAGCAACUGUUUAUCAAAAACACAGCUCUCUGCUAAAUCGUAAGAUGAUGUAUAGGGGGUGACGCCUGCCCGGUGCUGGAAGGUUAAGAGGAGUGCUUAGCAAUAGCGAAGGUAUGAAUUGAAGCCCCAGUAAACGGCGGCCGUAACUAUAACGGUCCUAAGGUAGCGAAAUUCCUUGUCGGGUAAGUUCCGACCCGCACGAAAGGCGUAAUGAUUUGGGCACUGUCUCAACG
rnacentral:rRNA from 1 species